rnacentral:rRNA from 1 species
CACGUAGGGUGCGAGCGUUGUCCGGAAUUAUUGGGCGUAAAGAGCUCGUAGGCGGUGUGUCGCGUCGGCCGUGAAAACCUGCAGCUUAACUGUGGGCUUGCGGUCGAUACGGGCAUCACUGGAGUUUCGGCAGGGGGAGACUGGAAUUCCUGGUGUAGCGGUGAAAUGCGCAGAUAUCAGGAGGAACACCGGUGGCGAAAGGGCGGG